rnacentral:lncRNA from 1 species
CCCCGAUGAUCUUGAGAUCAUAUUGAUGAUGCUAGCUAUUGGUUAGUUAUUGUUAUUGUCCUCCUCCAACUGGCAUUGAGAUAGCUACUCGAUCAUCUAAUUUUUUUGAUCUCGAACAUACUUUCUAAGGUAGCCUCUUCAAAUUAGGACCUCGAUCUCAUCCUUCAGAUGAUGGUAGUCUUCAAUGUCACGAUCAACAUCAUGAUAGAAUCGAUA